CACAUUGUCUUUACCUACAGGUGCAGUUUGUGUGUAGGCUUGUGAUGUUCACAUUGUCUUUACCUACAGGUGCAGUUUGUGUGUAGACUUGUGAUGUUCACAUUGCCUUUACCUACAGGAGCAGUUUGUGUGUAGACUUGUGAUGUUCACAUUGCCUUUACCUACAGGUGCAGUUUGUGUGUAGACUUGUGAUGUUCACAUUGCCUUUACCUACAGGUGCAGUUUGUGUGUAGGCUUGUGAUGUUCACAUUGCCUUUACCUACAGGUGCAGUUUGUGUGUAGGCUUGUGAUGUUCACAUUGCCUUUACCUACAGGUGCAGUUUGUGUGUAGACUUGUGAUGUUCACAUUGUCUUUACCUACAGAUGCAGUGGAUGUUCAUGUAACUUGUGAUGUUUUGGCAUCCCAUUCAGAAGUGAUCUUGAUAUUUUGCCCCUUAUUUGCCAUGAUAGGUUACAGCUCUCCCAUGAGCCCCAAACUGGGGCACUGAAAUGGUGUGUGUGUGUGUGUGGGGGGGGGGGGGGGGGGGCAACCAUCAACUAAGAUCAGCCAUGGUAUUUUUUUGUUUAUACAUUUUAAUUAUGUCACUUCAUUCCCUGCUCAAUUCCAUCUGCUCUGACAACAUCCUCUCAACAGUUCUGGCUGUGCAAUCAUUAAUUCCUUACUUAUUCACUGAAGCCACAGUGCUGGUUUGCAGUCGUUAAUUCCUUACUUAUACACUGAAGCCACUUGGCACCAUUUAGUGUACUGCAAAUUGAUGCAAAACAUCUUAUACAGCUGUGGAAUUACACAACUGUAUUACUACUUCCCUAUCUUAUUGGUUCAUAGGUAUGUACUAGUCUACCUGCCCUUGUGGGCCAUUUUAAGCCUAGUCACUUUCCCUUUUUGUGCUCAAAUUAACCCAUCAUGUUUGGUUAGAGACUGGCCUCACCCAUCCCAUGGUAGAUAAUUAUAUAUUACCCCUAAUGUGAAUAACUGGGAUCAUAGCAUAGAUAAUUUCAGGGGACCCAUGCGUGGGACAAAGCAUUUUGGAAAUGCCUGUCUCUAUUAGUAGUAAAAGGGGCAGUCCUGGGGUAAUCUUGCCUUGUCACGCACAGGUUAACUUGACAGUCCUAACUAUAUGUGAGCUUACAUAACAUGUAUGACUAAGCUGUUUCCAAGGCUGACCAGACUCUUUUUAGCUACAGAAACUAUCACUUCUUAAAUCUUCACUAGUUAACAGCAGCAUUGUGGUUUGUUCCCAUGCCUAUCAUAGUAGACAGUCUCUCUUCAGUGUGUAUGCGUGUGUGUGUGUGUGUGUGUGUGUGUGUGCGUGUGUGCGCGCAUGCGCGCACGCAUGCACACAUGCAUGCAUGUUUGUUUAAAUGUGUGCAUGUUUGAGGGAUGGUAAAUGAGGGGGGUCCAUUGACAAUGCAGUGCAUAAGCUCCCUAGAGUGAGUAACACAGCAAGGUGCUUGCUAGUAUUUGCAAUCAUUACCUUGUGAUUCAAAGACAUGCAAAUUAACUGGUAAUGAGGUCUUUCCUCAUUCUGGUUAACUUGUCUCUGAAUCACUGGCUUUUGCAAUUACAUUAACAGGCCCUUUUUGUUGCAGCCUUACUGCUCAUGCCUGGGCUGUUUCUGAAUCCUGCUUCAUGCCUGAGUAUCUGCAAUGUGAGUGCAUCUUUUUUUUUUUUUUUUUUAUAAAGGAGUUUUAAUACAUAGGAAAGCAUUUUCCAUAAAGUAUUACCAUCACAUGUAUAUUUAUGAAACUUAUUUGGAACACUUGAUAAAAGGUCGACAUUUGGCAGGUGAUAUUGGAAAUGUUAAACCGUUAAGUCCAUUUACCACUGACUUAGACAUUAUACCUCAUUUUUUUACAGCAUACCAAAAACAUAAUACCUUGACUCACAGUAUCUUUAUGAAUGCUGUCCAAACCUAGUGCAUUCGGUAAGGGUGACUAGGGCUCUUUAACCUCAUUUUGUAAACACUAUAAUUCCUUGAGCACACUGAGCUCAGUGAAGAUGUAUGCUGUGUUGACUGCAGGUGACAGUUUUUAAGUUUACCAAUGAGCCAGGCCUGCACAAACUACUUUAAGGAGUUUUGAUUGAAAGUCAGUUUUUGGUUUUAUUCUUUCUUCCUUCGCAAAUGAUAUUUUCUAAUGUAGCUGUAUGCUAUACUGCCAUGCAAUUACAUUGCUGUGCUUAUGUCACUGUAGUUCCUUGUUACUACAUUUGAAGUGCCUAAGCCAUAACUAACUCCAGCAUUAGCCCUGCCUUUGUUCAGUUCACCUUAAUGUGCAUCUGAGAACAAAGGUCAAAAUAAGAUGUUUUGUUCAGCAAAAGCAGUUAAAACUAUACCAUAAAUUCAUAUAUUCUGUAUAAUCUAACAACAAACAAUAUUCUGGAUUUGGUGAUUAUUGACUUGUACAUCCAAACCACAACUUUGGUUCUUAGUAAACAAAGCUAUUUGGCUUGUCCAUCUUUACAAAGGUACUGUGACUUAAAAAAUGGAAGAUUCAACGUCAUGAAAGAACAGUUGAAGAAUCAGUGAUUCGGGGUAACUUUAAGUUGACAAAGAGUAAUAAAAGAAUAAGAAAAUGCAAAUUAUUUUGGAAAUAUGAGGUGUUAGUCAUAUGAAUAUGUAUUAUUUUUGCUGUAAGUUUGCUGCCGUUUUGUAACCAGCAGAUUGAGUGCCUCAUUCAUUUUCACUGCUAAUCCAGCAUGACUCCUUAUCAGGUAAGUCCCCUUUCCAUGUGUAAUUUAAGCUUACCUGUGUAGCAUUUCCAGUGUAGCAGUGGACAGAUUGUGAAGCCAGUGGUGCGUGGCACUUUGUGAUGACUUUGUAAAUAGCUGCUCACCUCCUCCAACCACAGUAUGCGGAGGGAAGUACCUUACUCUGGGCUUGCAUCCACCAACCCUACUUGCCUUCCUCCUGCUGCUUCUUUGAUCUUAGAUGUCCAAGAUUACCUACCCCUAGCCUCCACUGGAGGUCAGAAUCCAGUCAAGUUUCCCUGAGCCACUUUCUGUCCCCAUGUGGAAAACUGUUUUUCCACACAAAGAGCUAUACUGUGCUGACCAGUUGUCUGAGAGACUUAACUCCACUCUUUAACUUGGAUCUUUAGUACUGUAGAUGUCUUCCCAGCAUCACUAGGAUUGCUACAACUGUCUGUGUUUUAUUCAAAAGUAGAAAAUCUCAUCAAGGAACACAAAAUUCAAAAUGCAUAUCAUGCUAAAGCAAAUGUCUCAGGCUGCCUGUCCUGUUUUGACAGGAUGAAAGCUAAUUCAUUCACACUACUGAUGCAAAGCUUGAAUAUUACAUGAAAAUGUCUAUCCACUGACAGUAGUUUACAUAUCCGAACAAGCAUGCAGUACUGUGUGGUGUAGCAAUCAUCUUUAAUGUGUACGUCUGUUAUUGGAUAAUGUCAUUUUGCCACAUGAAUAAACAAUUGUGAUGUAUGUGUAUAACAUAUAGUAAACAAAAGGUACAAAUUAUUGCUGCAAGAAGCAAACCAUUUUUAAUGUAAAUGUAUAAUAAAUUAAUGUAAUAAUGUGUAUGUAUAUUGUUUUUAAAGAAUGCUUAAUAAGUUAAACAUAACCUGUAUUUAAGACAAAAAUGAUUUUAUUAAAAUUCCCUUUACUGUUUUUUAAAGUUGUUUCCAUUCUUGAUUUUGAUACAUUAGUUGCAUUCAUUUAUUUCAUAGCUGAGAUCAUAUUUACGCACUUUUUCAAUAUUAUGAAUUUACUGCAGUUAUCUCUUCUGAUUUGGUGCAAACCUGCUCUUUUUAUUAUUUACUGGGACAAAUGUAAUUAAUUAAAUCUUAUUAUUGAAUGUCCCCA